CCCGCUGAACUUAAGCAUAUCAACAAGCGGAGGAAAAGAAGCUAACAAGGAUUCCCCUAGUAACUGCGAGUGAAGCGGGAAGAGCUCAAAUUUAAAAUCUGGCGGUCUCGCGGCCGUCCGAGUUGUAAUCUGGAGAAGCGUUUUCCGCGUCGGACCGUGUACAAGUCUUCUGGAACGGAGCGUCGUAGAGGGUGAGAAUCCCGUCUCUGACACGGACAGCCGAUGCUUCAUGUGAUACGCUCUCGAAGAGUCGAGUUGUUUGGGAAUGCAGCUCAAAAUGGGUGGUAAAUUCCAUCUAAAGCUAAAUAUUGGCGAGAGACCGAUAGCGAACAAGUACCGUGAGGGAAAGAUGAAAAGCACUUUGGAAAGAGAGUUAAACAGUACGUGAAAUUGUUGAAAGGGAAACGUUUGAAGUCAGUCGCGUCGGCCGAGACUCAACCCCACCUUUUGGCAGGGCGCAAUUCUCGGUCGACGGGUCAGCAUCAAUUUCGAUCGUCGGAUAAAGGUCGAGGGAACGUGGCAUCCUCCGGGGUGUGUUAUAGCCCUCGGUUCCGCAUGCGACGGUUGGGAUUGAGGAACUCAGCGCGCCUUUAUGGUCGGGGUAGCAACCCACGUAACGCGCUCAGGAUGCUGGCAUAAUGGCUUUAAGCGACCCGUCUUGAAACACGG
rnacentral:rRNA from 1 species